rnacentral:lncRNA from 1 species
GUUCAGUGAAGAACUGGGUUCGACACAAAAUAUAUAAUAAAAUAUGUCAGCUCGGUUGAAAAAAAUUAAUAUAAAGAAGAAGCAGUUCAAAAAAGGAUAAUUAAAAAAAUUUAAAAAAAGAGAGCUUGUCACGUGACUCACGUCAUUAUUUGAUAUUGGGGAUUCAUAUAAGAGUAUAGAUAGAAAAUAGAUUUGAUAUUGGGGAUUCAUAUAAGAAUAUAAAUAAUUAAAAAUUAAAAUAAAAAUUUUAAAAAAAUGUCAAAAAAGAAGAGUUUGUCACAUCAUCAUUUGAUAUUAGAGAUUCAUAUAAAAAAAAUAUAGAUAGAUUACCACAAGUUUAGUUCGGUGAUUGGGCUAGAAGUUCAAUCCCAUUUAUGCUUUCACAAAUUAAUGGGAGUUCGUGUCUCUGAUUUUUUAGAUAUAAAAAAAAAAUCUUGUACUUGUGGUGGGGUCCGGGAUAAAAAUAUACCUGCAAAUUUUAAAAGAAUGAGGCUACUAUGUUUUUAGAAGUACGGAGCCUUCCGUGCUUUCAGGUCGUUUUCGAUGUUGCGACUUUCGAAUCGUCGAUCGGCUCUGUUAAACUUGAUCUAGAAUAUUUGAAAUACCUAGAAAAUAAAUUGUGCGAUUUUUCGAUAUUAUUUGCCUAGUGAACGAAGGGGCUCAAAAUCAACGGCUGAAAAUAAAAAUCAUACAAAACGUGAUAAUAUGAUAUUAAAAUUUUAGAUCAAAGAUAUUGAUCUUAUUUUAUAUAGUAUAAAAAAUUUUCUAUCAAAAUUUCACACGUUUUGGAUAUUUCUACACCGUUAAACUUGUAAACAACUCACUACGGCCAUUAAAAUUAUUAAUUUUGAGCCCCUUCGAUUACUAGGCAAAUGAUAUCGAAAAAUCAUAAAAUUUAUUUUCUAGGCACUUCAAAUACUCUAGAUCAAAUUAAUGGAGCCGAUCGACGAUUCAAAAGUCGCAACAUCAAAAAUGACCAGUGCUUCCAGAAGCAUAGUAGCCUCACACAUUUUAAAAUAUAUAUUAUAUAUCAUAUAGUUAUCCAACCCCUAUAAAAUGAUAUUAAUUUUUAAAUUAAAAGAAAAAAAAAAGUAGUAAAGAUCAUAAUCAACGGUAUCGAUCAUUGAUUUGGACUCUCUAUCAUUGAAAAUAAAUUUGUGGAGUCCGUUUGUUACCAAUAGUACUCUAGCUCAACUCCCUAUCUCUCUCUAUAUCUAUACUACUUUUAGAGGGAGUUUUAAAAUUUCUUUCUUUUCCAAAAUACCACUCUCUAUUAAUAUAAUUCUAAUCACAUACUAAUGGAUAUAAAUUACAACCGUACAACUUAUAUUUUAUUUUCAAAUUAUUAUAAAAUGUAUUAAUUAUUAGUCAUUGGAUCUAAAUCAAUGGCCGACGAAUUAAGUAUCUGUCAUUUUUUUUUUUAACCUAAAUUGCCCUGAAUGCAUAUCAAAUCCCACCUUUUAUACGCGUAUCUUAUCUCCUAAUAACCGCAGCCUAUAUAAUAUCCAUAUUCUAUCUUAUCUAAUAAUUUAUCUAACAAUAAUUCUCUUUACACUUCGUACUUAUCUAUAUUAUAUAAAAAAGUAUAUAAAAAUUCUUAUAAUAACAAAUAUAACUAAAAAAAAAAUAUUCCCUACCAACAGUUAUGAUUAAUUUAUUAAAAAAUAUCUCAAAUAAAAAUAAAUAGUUAUAAUCAAUUUAUUAAAAAAUAGCAUGGUUAUCUAUCAAUAUAUCAAAUUCUACGAAUAAUUAUGAUUAAUUUUUAAAAAAUUAUUUCAAAUAAAAACGAAUGGUUAUGAUCAAGCUGUUAAAAAAUAAUAUUCCUAUUCAUAGAUUUUACAUUAAAAUUAAAAUUUGAGUUUAAAUCAUGAAUUGAAUUAAAUAUAAAAAUUGUUAAAUAUAAAAAUGUUUAAACACCGUUCUCUAACAGCUUAAACUUUUAGAGUACAA